rnacentral:misc_RNA from 1 species
UUUUGGGAUAAAGGUUUAGUUUAGUUGAGUUGAGUAUUGUUAUGUCAGGUAGUUUGAAACACUGUUGUUAGAAUAGUACAAUUCUCGAUUCAAUUUGUACGAUUCUAUUUGAUUCCCCAUCCCAACAAUUCAAAUCUCUGGGGUGAAUCACUAUGUACCUAAAUCAUGACCAAAUCUUACGAUUCGAUAGUGAAUCUUGAUGAAUCAACCAAUUCGGUUGAUUUUUUUUUCCUAAAGGGUUGUUAGGCCCUAUAGCUUCAAAAUUUAAGAUUUCAUUUUAUUUUCACAAUGAGAAGCAUGGUUUUAAAUAGGGUUUUUCAAGGGGCCGUUACCUUUUAACCCGUUAUUUAAAAGCUGAUGCUCAGUUGCAUUGGUAAUGGCCAUUACCAUCGUUACAUAACGGUAAUGACCAUUAUUUACCAUUAAGUAUUGGUAACGGCCGUUACGUCAAUAAUUCAGUGGACAAAAAAUAUAUGCAUGCAAUGUUUUCUUUAGUUUUUUUCAUUC